GGAGCUGCAGGGGUGCCUCAAGCGCGGCCGCCGCCCGGCGCGCCGCCAUGGUCGCGGCUGCGCCCGAUCCGCGUGGAGAGGUGUGGCAGAAUUACGCGCGGACCGCGCCCUCGGGUCACCCGUGGGAGCUGACCUGGCGGUGGCGGGGCGGGCAGCCUGGCCGUAGCUGCGCAAGGCGGUGCCUCUCCGGAGCCUAGGGUCACCGUGCACCUUGCCAGCGCCGUGCGCGUCCCCUCGGCCUCAGGAACCAGGACAGGGACGGGUUCUCCCUGUCCUAGGUGAUGAACCGUCCUGCGCCCCGCCUGGUACUCCCUGCUGGAACCACAGAUACGGGGUUUGCCUUGACUUUGAGCAUCUGAUGAGAAGCAGAAUCAUGUGGUAGUGCAGAGGAAAAUGAAAGGGGCCAGCCACACUACAGCUGUGGAGGGAGCGGAGCCUGAGGCGCUGUGGAUAGAAGGCAAGCAUCCUCUCGGUCCUGGCUUCCAGUGGACAUGCUCCAGAUCAUAGCUUCCGCUUCCUCAGGUCAGAGCUCAAGUACCAUCAAGGAAUUACCAUCUUCACAAUGGCUGCCCUUCUCACCUAUGAGUCUCCAGGGCUGCGGGACUGCAAACUGCGUGACCUGGCAUGGGGCCCUGCAGCCCAGCGUACCACUGCGCAUGCCUGAACUGCAUGAAGGGCCCCUGGAAUCUGCCGGAGCAGAGGUGAUGAACCCUGGCUGAAAUGCGAGGUACAUGCUCGUGUUCAGGGAGACAGUUUUCUAAAGCAAUGGAGUAGCUGCUGACUUCAACCUGCUGGAGGGAGGAAAUGACAGAGCUCCCUCCCAGCUCCUCGGUCGAAGGACACGUGACAAGACAAAGAAGAGGCUCGA